ACACAUUUGGUCCCUUACGUUUAUUUUAGGUUUCAAUUUGGUCCCUUACGUUUAAAACGUAUCAAUUUGGUCCCAUACGUUUCCUCCGUUACCUUUAGUUGGUCCUUUCCGUUAAUUUUUAUACUAACACCGUUUAAAACAAAGGACUAUGUAUGAUUAUCAUGGACUACCAUACACUGGAUUAUGAGAUCAUCUCAUCAUCUCCUUCACUCAACACCACCGCCCCCAUCUUCUUCUUCUCUCUACCAACACCACCAAAAUCUCUACCACAACAUCCAAAACAAAAACAAUUGCAUAUCUAAAGUCAAAUAUAAAAAAUCACAAAAACCCAGUUUAUGUUAAAAUCACAAAUCUAAAGAAAUUGCAUAAAAAAUCAAGCAUAAAAAUCCAACAUGAUUAACAAAAUUAUACCCAAAGAACUGCAACAAGAAUGAUUAACGAAUUCAAUUCAACUCAAAUCAAACAUAAAAAAAUCCAACAUGAUUAUUCAUUGAUUGCAGAUCUAAAAAAGUUGCAGAUCAUAACCCAAUCUCAAAAUGAUUGCAGAUCUAAAAAAUAAGUUUUCUACCAAAUCAAAAAAUUAACCAUUGAUUGCUCUUGAUUUGUUCUUCUUUGUUAUUUAUUUCUGUAUAUGGUUUGAU
rnacentral:lncRNA from 1 species